UACGUAGGGGGCAAGCGUUGUCCGGAUUUAUUGGGCGUAAAGAGCGUGUAGGCGGCCAGGUAGGUCAGCUGUGAAAACUCGAGGCUCAACCUCGAGACGUCGGUUGAAACCACCUGGCUAGAGUCCGGAAGAGGAGAGUGGAAUUCCUGGUGUAGCGGUGAAUGCGCAGAUAUCAGGAAGGAACACCCAUGGCGGAAGGCGGCUCUCUGGGACGGUACUGACGCUGAGACGCGAAAGCGUGGGGAGCGAACAGG
rnacentral:rRNA from 1 species